UACAUGGGGUGCAAACGUUGCUCGGAAUUACUGGGCGUAAAGCGUGCGUAGGCGGUUCUCCAAGUCCGUUGUGAAAGCCCCGGGCUCAACCUGGGAAUGGCAGUGGAAACUAGGGGACUGGAAUCUGGCAGAGGGGGGUGGAAUGCCGCGUGUAGCAGUGAAAUGCGUAGAGAUGCGGCGGAACACCGAUGGCGAAGGCAGCCCCCUGGGCUGAGAUUGACGCUCAGGCACGAAAGCGUGGGGAGCAAACAGG
rnacentral:rRNA from 1 species